AACGCACAUUGCGCCCCCUGGUAUUCCGGGGGGCAUGCCUGUUCGAGCGUCAUUACAACCCUCAAGCUCUGCUUGGUAUUGGGCUCUGCCGGUCCCGGCAGGCCUUAAAAUCAGUGGCGGUGCCAUUCGGCUUCAAGCGUAGUAAUUCUUCUCGCUUUGGAGACCCGGAUGCGUGCUUGCCAGCAACCCCCAAUUUUUUCAGGUUGACCUCGGAUCAGGUAGGGAUACCCGCUGAACUUAA
rnacentral:misc_RNA from 1 species